UGAUGACGGAGCCUAGGGAGAGGAGAGGUUACAGUGUACCACCUAGACCAGAGGUCGGGACCCAGGCCACGGAGUGGAGAGUAGAAAGGAAAGGACAGAAGAUAGCUUCUAGGGGACAUGCCUGCACCUGGGAGUUAGAAGGAAGGAAAACCAAAGAAGGAGCCAGAGAGGCAGAUAGAGGAGUCUGCAGAAAUAUGGAG
rnacentral:lncRNA from 1 species